rnacentral:rRNA from 1 species
ACGGAGAAGGUUAGCUCAGCCAACUGUUGGAUAUGUUGGUUCAAGCCUGUAGUCGUGCCCGGUAGGCAAAUCCGCCGGGCUUAGAUGAGGGGUGAUAACGAGUGUGCUUGCACACGAAGUGAGUGAUACCCUGCUUCCAGGAAAAGCCACUAAGCUUCAGCUAUUGAUUGACCGUACCGCAAACCGACACUGGUGCGCGAGAUGAGUAUUCUAAGGCGCUUGAGAGAACUCUGGAGAAGGAACUCGGCAAAUUGAUACCGUAACUUCGGGAGAAGGUAUGCCCUUGGUAUGUGAAGUUGAACAAACGGAGCAGAAAAGGGUUGCAAAAAAUCGGUGGCUGCAACUGUUUAAUAAAAACACAGCACUCUGCAA